rnacentral:tRNA from 1 species
GCCCGGGUGGCGGAAUGGCAGACGCGGAAGACUCAAAAUCUUUUGUUGGUAACAACGUGGGGGUUCAAGUCCCUUCCCGGGCA